rnacentral:rRNA from 1 species
UACGAAGGGAGCUAGCGUUGUUCGGAAUCACUGGGCGUAAAGCGCACGUAGGCGGAUUUGUCAGUCAGGGGUGAAAUCCCGGGGCUCAACCUCGGAACUGCCUUUGAUACAGCAAGUCUUGAGUUCGAGAGAGGUGGGUGGAAUUCCUAGUGUAGAGGUGAAAUGCGCAGAUAUCGGGAGGAACACCAAUGGCGAAGGCAGCUCGCUGGGACGGUACUGACGCUGAGACGCGAAAGCGUGGGGAGCAAACAGG